AAGAAAAUAUUAGAGUUUCCUGAUAAUUUGAGUGAUAAAAAGGUUUUACAGCAAUUCUUAGGAAUUGUAAACUAUGCGCGAAACUAUAUAGAUAACUUAGCAAAGCUAGCAGGACCUUUAUAUGCUAAAUUAAGAAAAAAUGGUCAAAGAUACUUCAAUUCUGAAGAUAUAAAAUUAGUAAAGGCCAUCAAAGAAAAAGUCGAGAAUUUAAAACCCCUAGAAUUGCCUCUAGAAGACAAUUAUUUCAUAAUUGAGACAGAUGCAUCUAAGGUAGGAUGGGGUGCGAUACUAAAACAAAAGCCCAAUAAAUACUCUCCAAAGGCAGAUGAAAAAAUAUGCAGACAUGCUUCAGGAAGUUACAAAUUAAAGACGGCAAAUAAUAUUGAUAGAGAAAUUCUUGUAGUUGUAAAUGCAAUAAAUGCAUUUAGGUUAUAUCUAGGAUUUAAAGAAUUUACAGUACGAACAGACUAUGAAGCCAUAUGUCGAUAUUACAAUAAAAUUAAUAAUAUGAGGAAAGGAUUAUUCCACACCAAGGAGGAAUAUAUCUUCUUUGCAGAAGAAAAUAGGUUGAUAGUAUUUCAGCCAAAUACAUUCAAUUUCAAGCCAAAGGCUCAUAUCAAGCUUGAGAAGUUCAACGCUGCAUAUUGGAUAAUUUCUGGUUCCAAUAUACCACCAAAAGAGAGGAAAUGGGAUAUAUGUUAUCAAUUCUGA
rnacentral:rRNA from 1 species